ACGUUGACAGACACCUCGGGCAGCCAAAGAGCGCAGAGCUGGGGGAGUGUGGAGACGGAGAGCAGCGCUGAUCCAGCAGCUGGGGGAAGGAUGGCGCCAGAGCGCACAGAGCCUGCUGCAGUACGUCUUCAUGGCCCCUGGCAGCUCUCACAUAUCAAUCAAGAUUUCCACAACGCCCGGAAACUUUAAAGUUAGUUGCGUUCAUCAUUUCAUACGAGAGAAGUAGCCGUCAACUGCCGACAGCGAGUGACGUAGCGUUUUAUGAAAAGCUCGCAAAAAUACCUGACCUGCUUCUGGAGGCUGCCGUGACGCAAACAAUACAAUAAAUAUAAACAAAAAUAAAUUAGGGCAGCGUUAAUGUUUUCGACCUGCAGUCUAUAUAGAUACAUUUUAUUUGCGUUCAUUUGAAGUUGUAAAAAUUGUAAUAGUUAUUUGUAAACAGGAAUACUUGUAAGGUGGGUUUUCAGGUAAUUGGAAAUACUCGUUUCACACCAACUACUGUAAUUGUAAUAAUAAUAAUAAUAAUAAUGAUAAUAAUAAUGAUAAUAAAAAAACGGUUGACCUUCGAAAAAGUCCAGACAGCUAUAGAUUUGAAAAACACUUAAAAUACUGAUAACUUUACCUGCACUGCACUGUACAGCCAACAGACAUGUGCGCUAUAAUAUUCACAGAGGAGCUGUGAGUGCGUCUGGUAACUGGUUUAGAUUAAGUUUAUAACUAAUUAAAGGAUUUUUAAGAUCUAAUCUGGUCUAAAUAUUAUCUUUCUGCGUGACGUUGCUCUAAAGUUGAUUAUAAUUUAAAUUUAAUUCAAUUCAUGUGACAGCAAAGAUGAUGAAUAUCUAAAUGAGGGGUGAGGCAGUGACUGCAGGAGCGCACAGAAUGGCGAACAAUCUGAAGGUGUCCAGUGGUGAAAUGAAGAGUUCGUGUGUGCUGUGCAGUUUGCUGGACAGAGAGCAGAGGAGGAGAGUCUGCCGGGCAACAGGAGAGAAGAAAAACGGCAUCAACCAGCAGCACACCGGUGUCAUGUCUCAUUUUGGAAUGAUGCUCUUCAAAUACUUCAUCACCGGCCUUCUCAGUUUCGCUGCAGACGCUGGCUGACCUCAUUGAGUGACCUCACCAAUCACAGAUCAAAGUGGUUGGGUUUCUGGCUGGUCAGGUUAAUCAGAGGACCACCCUGAAGAACCAAUCAGGUUGCAGUGUGUUUGCGAGUCUCUUGGGCGACAUCCAUCAGUUGAAUGGAUGGAGGCUAUGCAACAGCAGCACUAAUGCGAAAGGAGGGCAGGGCGUAUUCCCUUUCCGAAAUCCACAGAAAACGCCAGUCUGGAAUCAAUCUGUUUUCCUAGACACCUGUGCAGGUCUAGUGUUUCAGCCGAGUCCCUGAAAAAUAAAUGUGGAGCUCCAAUCUCUUAAUCCACUCGGCUCCACGCAGCCACGUCACAUGACACCGCCACGGCCGCCCUGAUGCCCAGACAACACUGGAGGGAGAGAUUGUUUUUUGUGUGUGUGUGUGUGUGUGUGUGUGUGUGUGUGUGUGUGUGUGUGUGUGCGUGUGCGUGUGUGUGUGUCUGAGAGAGAGAGCCAAAGAAAGAGAAAGCAACAAGAAAGUAUAGAAGUGCUAGCGUAAACUGGAGUCAGUGUUUUGCUUAUUAUACACCGCUAGUUAUUCAGUCCAGUGUGUUUGUCCUAUUUAUAUGUGUCUGUUUGAGCGUGUACAUGCUGUAUGUAUUCUAGAAGAGGAACUGUAGUUGGAAAAGGAGAAGCAGACUAAUCUUUUUCAUCCAAAUCAAGGUCCUUGGUCCACGUUUUGUGUGUGUGUGUGUGUGUUUGUGUGUGUGUGUGUGUGUGUGUGUGUGUGUGUGUGUGUGUGAGUGUGUGUGUGUAUGUGCACGCAUGUGUGUUUGGGAUGAUACCCUAUCCACAGCAAUCAGUCUGACCUCCACUCUGGAGUGAACUGCUCUCAAUGAUUAAUGGAUCUGCCUCCGUGCUCAGUCGCCAAGGCAACCCGAAACCUGAUAGCCCUCAGGAAUUCGCUAGCUCGCCCUCAAAGUUAGGCUGUGUGUGUGUGUGUGUGUGUGUGUGUGUGUGUGUGUGUGUGUGUGUGUGUGUGUGUUUGUGUGUGUGUGUAGGGUGUGUGUGUGUUUGUGUGGGGUGUGUGUGUGUGUGUUGCUAGGCUGUGGGUGGGAGACAGAGUGAGGCUAAAUGUGACUCUUUGGAAAGAUGGAGUUGGUUGUGGUAAAGGUGGGAGAGGAGGAGGAGGAGGAGGGAGAGAGGUCCGAUUCAGUCAAUAAAACAAGGUGAUUUCUAUUCGACAUAUUUCAGUCUAUUAUUGUUUUUAAUUUAUCUUUUGCGUUUUAACAUUCUGUCAUAGCAAUCUAACCAUUUGUCUCCACACGUCUUCAAUCUUAAAGCGUUCAAGUAUUGUUUUAGUCCAUUAGUAUCAUUAGCAUCAUAGUUUUUGGAACUUUUGGAGCAUUUAAAAUCAAACCAUCACAACGAGUCACCUCCUCCUAAGGUCUAAUUCCCCAGCACCACGAUUCACUGCAGCGAUCUAUACUUUGCGUCAAAAUAGUUUAUUUGCACGACCGAACCCCAGUCAAAGUUAGUAAUUGCGGAUGAACAAGUGAAUUUGCAUGUGUACAGAUAUAUCGCUGUGUCUGUGUGUAGAAGCUUGUGAGAGUCCAUCUGAAGCCACUGAUGAGUAAAUCUAUGUUAACAAGAUGGCAGCUCUCGAGUUGAAGUGCUGCUGCCCAGCUUGCGGACUGUUUGCUUGAC